AUUGAACGCUGGCGGCAUGCCUUACACAUGCAAGUCGAACGGAUCAGAGGAGCUUGCUCUUCUGGUUAGUGGCGAACGGGUGAGUAAUGCAUCGGAACGUACCCAGUAGUGGGGGAUAACGUAGCGAAAGUUACGCUAAUACCGCAUACGACCUGAGGGUGAAAGCAGGGGAUCGCAAGACCUUGCGCCAUUGGAGCGGCCGAUGUCGGAUUAGCUAUGUGGUAGGGUAAAAGCCUACCAAGGCGACGAUCCGUAGCUGGUCUGAGAGGACGACCAGCCACACUGGGACUGAGACACGGCCCAGACUCCUACGGGAGGCAGCAGUGGGGAAUUUUGGACAAUGGGGGAAACCCUGAUCCAGCCAUGCCGCGUGAGUGAAGAAGGCCUUCGGGUUGUAAAGCUCUUUCAGACGGAAAGAAAUCUUCCGGGCUAAUACCUCGGGAGGAUGACGGUACCGUAAGAAGAAGCACCGGCUAACUACGUGCCAGCCGCCGCGGUAA
rnacentral:rRNA from 1 species